rnacentral:lncRNA from 1 species
UUUAAAUUUGUUAUUUUAGUUUUUUCGCAGUGUAUUUGGAUUCUAGUAUAACCAUCAGUAACUAGUACUAAUUAGCCCAAAAUUAUUACUUAUUCUAUUAUGUCUUAAUUUACGGGACCCAUUAUUCUUUUUAAUCCGUUCGAGAAAAAUGUUAUGAUAAAAAAGUCACAACAAAAAUUCAAACAUUAUUAUGUCCAUGCAGAUUGCAGCAGCCCCAUAGUCAGUGGCGGAUCCAGCUCAUAAUGAGGGUGUUCAUCUGAAUCUUCUUUGGCUGAAAAUUAUAUUAUGUAUACAAGCUUAAAAUUAUUUUUCAUGUAUGUAUAGUUAACGC